rnacentral:rRNA from 1 species
UACGUAGGGUGCAGGCGUUAAUCGGAAUUACUGGGCGUAAAGCGUGCGCAGGCGGUUUGCUAAGACAGGUGUGAAAUCCCCGGGCUUAACCUGGGAACUGCGCUUGUAACUGGCAAGCUAGAGUGUGGCAGGGGAGAUCGGAAUUCCUGGUGUAGCGGUGAAAUGCGCAGAUAUCAGGAGGAACACCGGUGGCGAAGGCGGAUCUCUGGGCCUGAUCCUGACGCUCGAGGCGCGAAAGCUAGGGGAGCAAACAGG